UCCGGUUUGGCACCGGCAGUCCCCCCAGAGUCCUCAGCAUGACCUGCUAGCAACUGGGGGCGGGGGUUGCGCUCGUUGCGGGACUUAACCCAACAUCUCACGACACGAGCUGACGACAGCCAUGCAGCACCUGUGCGAAAGCUCCGAAGAGGGGCCUCGGUCUCUCGAGACUUUCCCUCGCAUGUCAAGCCCGGGUAAGGUUCUUCGCGUUGCGUCGAAUUAAACCACAUGCUCCACCGCUUGUGCGGGCCCCCGUCAAUUCCUUUGAGUUUCAGCCUUGCGGCCGUACUCCCCAGGCGGGGCACUUAAUGCGUUAGCGCCGGCACCCGGAGGGUCGCUCCCCCGGGCACCUAGUGCCCAUCGUUUACGGCGUGGACUAC
rnacentral:misc_RNA from 1 species